CCGCCACGUGCUCGCAGUCAUGGCGGCUUGCGGGGGUCUCCGCGCGGCUCGUGCGGCCUCGGGCUUGUGGAGGGGUGACAUUGGCAGACAUUGGCGGUGAGGAGCAGACCUGCAGGUUUAAGGAGGAACCAAUAAUGGGCCUGGGAGAUAAAAGGUGGGUGCAGACUUCAGGGACUGCCAUGGGAGCGCUGUCAUCCUAAGACGCCAAAUGGGAAGCUCUUCACGCUGCACUCCCUGAGGGCCUGACCCUGUUCCUGGCAGAAGCAGCUGCUCCGGAAGAUGCAGGCGCACCGGUGGCCUGGACCCAGUGGGCACCACGUGCUGCACCGGUUACUCGGCUCCCAGACCAUCUCCCUCUGUCCUGACUGUCGUACCCCCAGGCCCGGCGACAGACUCCAGCGGCUCCAGAAAUGAGGUUGUGACCAAGGACGCUCAGAAUCCCAUCGCCGCAGCCCUGGGCUGGGCUAGUCCCAGACUCCCCAGAACUGUUGGCGACCUCUGAUGGCGGGGAACUGGCUGGGGGUUUUCUCUGAAACGCGAAUAAAUGGU